GAUGAAGAACGCAGUGAAAUGCGAUAAGUAAUGUGAAUUGCAGAAUUCAGUGAAUCAUCGAAUCUUUGAACGCACAUUGCGCCCGCCAGUAUUCUGGCGGGCAUGCCUGUUCGAGCGUCAUUUCAACCAUCAAGCCCCCGGCUUGUGUUGGGGACCUGCGGCUGCCGCAGGCCCUGAAAAGCAGUGGCGGGCUCGCUGUCACACCGAGCGUAGUAGCAUACAUCUCGCUCUGGGCGUGCUGCGGGUUCCGGCCGUUAAACCACCUUCAUAACCCAAGGUUGACCUCGGAUCAGGUAGGAAGACCCGCUGAACUUAAGCAUAUCAAUAAGCGGGA
rnacentral:misc_RNA from 1 species